GGUGAGGUUUUCUCCUUAGCUCUGACCCAUAGUUUUGGUGCAAGAUGGGACUUGCAUGUUCAGGGCUUCGGUUCUGCGUGUGAGAGAAAGGUAUGGCAGACUCCGUUAAGGGAGUCUGAAUCAGAAGUGAUUCAUAGCUUGUGAGGUACUCAGAUAUUUCAUUUGAGUGCCAUAAAUGACUUGAAAAGAUACAAAAGUGAAAUAUGAAGCUGGAUGAAAGGGAAAGGACAACGUUGUGAUCCACCCACUUUUUAGGCCAGAAGAGACCAUUAUGGCAAUUCGGUCAGACUUCUCCCAUAAUACAGACUUCAGGACUUCGCUGAACUAAUUCCUACUUCAGAGCAAGAGCUGUGAUCGAACUAGAGCACGUAUUUCAAGAGAAACUGCCCAACUUGAUCUUAGAGGGAGAAUGUAGUAGGAGAAUCCACUACUGCCCUUGGCUCAUCGCUGAACCCUCUCUAGAAUUUCAGCCUUGCCCUGUGGACCCCAUCUCCAGAUGCACUAUCCCAAGGCCGGUCAUGCUGGUGCUGAGCACAGCAGUAAUGAAACUUCCUGAGGCCCAGGGGGAAGGGGACAGCUGCCUCCUUUGGGCUGGAGCCAGCAGAGGCACGGCUGGCCAUGUCGGAUCAAUCCCAUCCCAGCAGAGAAGAGGGAUGCCACCUUGGGAGACUAGAAGUCUCUGACCCUUUCUGAUCAGGUACAAGCAG